GGUUGAUCCUGCCAGUAGUCAUAUGCUUGUCUAAAAGAUUAAGCCAUGCAUGUCUAAGUAUAAACUUUUUAUACAAGUGAAACUGCGAAUGGCUCAUUAAAUCAGUUAUAAUUUAUUUGAUAGUACCCCUUUACUACUUGGAUAACCGUGGUAAUUCUAGAGCUAAUACAUGCUUCAAGUCCUGACCUUUUUGGAAAGGAUGCAGUUAUUAGAUACAAAACCAACCUGGGCAACCAGUCCCUUGGUGAUUCAUGAUAACUUUGCAAAUCGCACAGCCUUUGCGCUGGCGAUGG
rnacentral:rRNA from 1 species